CGUAACCAACCUGCCCUUGACUGGGGGAUAGCCCGCCGAAGACGGUUAAUACCGCAUAAACUAGCAACUCGGCAUCGAGUAACUAGUAAAGAUUUAUUGGUCAAGGAUGGGGUUGCGUGACAUUAGCUAGUUAGCGGGGUAACGGCCCACCAAGGCGACGAUGUCUAGGGGACCUGAGAGGGUGAUCCCCCACACUGGCACUGAGAUACGGGCCAGACUCCUACGGGAGGCAGCAGUUGGGAAUAUUGGGCAAUGGGCGAGAGCUGACCCAGCCAUGCCGCGUGCCGGAUGAAGGCCUUCUGGGUUGUAAACGGCUUUUCUCAGGGAAGAAAAAGACCAUGCGUGGUACACUGACGGUACCUGAGGAAUAAGCACCGGCUAACUCCGUGCCAGCAGCCGCGGUAAUACGGAGGGUGCAAGCGUUGUCCGGAUUUAUUGGGUUUAAAGGGUGCGUAGGCGGCCCGUUAAGUCCGGGGUGAAAGCCUACAGCUCAACUGUGGAACUGCCCUGGAUACUGGCGGGCUUGAGUCCAGACGAGGUUGGCGGAAUGGAAGGUGUAGCGGUGAAAUGCAUAGAUACCUUCCAGAACCCCGAUUGCGUAGGCAGCUGACUAGGCUGGUACUGACGCUGAGGCACGAAAGCGUGGGGGAGCGAACAGGAUUAGAUACCCUGGUAGUCCACGCCGUAAACGAUGGAUACUCGCUGGUGGCGAUAGACAGUCACUGGCUUAGCGAAAGCGUAAGUAUCCCACCUGGGGAGUACGCUCGCAAGAGUGAAACUCAAAGGAAUUGACGGGGGCCCGCACAAGUGGUGGAGCAUGUGGUUUAAUUCGAUGAUACGCGAGGAACCUUACCUAGGCUAGAAUGCGCGUGACCGGUUCAGAGAUGAACUUUUCCUUCGGGACACAAAGCAAGGUGCUGCAU
rnacentral:rRNA from 1 species